rnacentral:misc_RNA from 1 species
GAUGAAGAACGUAGCGAAAUGCGAUAAGUAAUGUGAAUUGCAGAAUUCAGUGAAUCAUCGAAUCUUUGAACGCGCAUUGCGGCCCCUGGUAUUCCGGGGGGCAUGCCUGUUCGAGCGUCAUUUCACCACUCAAGCCUCGCUUGGUAUUGGGCAACGCGGUCCGCCGCGUGCCUCAAAUCGACCGGCUGGGUCUUCUGUCCCCUAAGCGUUGUGGAAACUAUUCGCUAAAGGGUGUUCGGGAGGCUACGCCGUAAAACAACCCCAUUUCUAAGGUUGACCUCGGAUCAGGUAGGGAUACCCGCUGAACUUAAGCAUAUCAAUAAGCGGAGGA